CUAGGCUGGUCAGCGAGCGUGUGGUGGUAGGGACACGUGUUGGAGACAGAGGCUGAAGCCCUGUCACAGAGCUGAACACCCACACCUGGCCCAGGACUCAGAGACGCUGAAAGGAGGCUCUAAGUCUAAGGGAAUGUGGAGCCAUUGCAGAACCAGCCACUCCUCACACCACGGAGGCAGACAUCUGUGGCACAACAUGGAGCACAGCCUCCUACCGAGCCCACCAGCCCAGACGUGGUUACCUUUUUCCGUGGCCGAAGCCUGUCCCGCCAUUCCUUCAGGUUCUGGUUAUGGCUCUCGUCCAGGGCCUUCAGCUUCUGGGUUUCAUGUUCUACCAGGAGGUGACACUUUUCAUUCUGGAACAAAUUCCAGGCAGAACAGGAUGCAGCAAGAAGGCGGCCAUCUGCAAGCCAGGAAGAGAGGCUUCCCUAGACUUCAACCAUGCUGGCAGGCUGGCCUUGGACUUCCAGGCUCUAGAACAGUGAUGCUCCUCCAUGUCCCACAGGGCCGCCUCCCGGUCUGCGGAGGACACACUGCCUGGUGAGCUGCUGAGGGCAGAGCCCCACCGUGCCCUCCCCUCCCCUCCCCACAGCCCAGCUGAAGACUGUGCCACCUCAUUAGCCUACGUGGGAGAGUUGAUGGGCCAACUCCUGGAAACUUCCUUAAUGCCUACGGGGUGAGAGCUCGCUACAGCAAGAUGUGUUCGGAGUCAGGAGCCUGAGAAACAGAGACCUGGGCUGAAACCCAGCUCCAACACUGGGAUUUAGUACAGGUAAAAAGGCUGGCCGAAACCGGUUUGGCUCAGUGGAU